UGCAGUCGAACGGCAGCACAGAGGAGCUUGCUCCUUGGGUGGCGAGUGGCGGACGGGUGAGGAAUACAUCGGAAUCUACUUUGUCGUGGGGGAUAACGUAGGGAAACUUACGCUAAUACCGCAUACUACCUACAGGUGAAAGCAGGGGACCUUCGGGCCUUGCGCGAUUGAAUGAGCCGAUGUCGGAUUAGCUAGUUGGCGGGGUAAAGGCCCACCAGGGCGACGAUCCGUAGCUGGUCUGAGAGGAUGAUCAGCCACACUGGAACUGAGACACGGUCCAGACUCCUACGGGAGGCAGCAGUGGGGAAUAUUGGACAAUGGGCGCAAGCCUGAUCCACCCAUACCGCGUGGGUGAAGAAGGCCUUCGGGUUGUAAAGCCCUUUUGUUGGGAAAGAAAUCCAUCUGGCUAAUACCCGGUUGGGAUGACGGUACCCAAAGAAUAAGCACCGGCUAACUUCGUGCCACAGCCGCGGUAAUACAAAGGGUGCAAGCGUUACUCAGAAUUACUGGGCGUAAAGCGUGCGUAGGUGGUCGUUUAACUCCGUUGUGAAAGCCCUGGGCUCAAGCUGGGAACUGCGGUGGAUACGGGGCGACUAAGUGUGGUAGAGGGUACGGAAUUCCUGGUGUAGCAGUGAGAUGCGUAAAGAUCGAGAGGAA
rnacentral:rRNA from 1 species